rnacentral:rRNA from 1 species
GACGAACGCUGGCGGCGUGCUUAACACAUGCAAGUCGAACGGUGAAGCGCCUUCCUUUUUGGUGGGUGUGGAUGAGUGGCGAACGGGUGAGUAACACGUGAGUAACCUGCCCCCUUCUUCUGGAUAACCGCAUGAAAGUGUGGCUAAUACGGGAUAUUCUGGGUCUGUCGCAUGAUGGGUCUGGGAAAGAUAUUGUUUCGGUGGGGGAUGGGCUCGCGGCCUAUCAGCUUGUUGGUGGGGUGAUGGCCUACCAAGGCGGUGACGGGUAGCCGGCCUGAGAGGGUGGACGGUCACAAUGGGACUGAGACACGACCCAGACUCCUACGGGAGGCAGCAGUGGGGAAUAUUGCACAAUGGGCGCAAGCCUGAUGCAGCGACGCCGCGUGAGGGAUGGAGGCCUUCGGGUUGUGAACCUCUUUCGCCAGUGAAGCAGGCCUGCCUCGUUUGUGGGUGGGUUGACGGUAGCUGGAUAAGAAGCGCCGGCUAACUACGUG